rnacentral:rRNA from 1 species
AGUGAACGCUGGCGGUAGGCCUAACACAUGCAAGUCGAACGGCAGCACAGUAAGAGCUUGCUCUUACGGGUGGCGAGUGGCGGACGGGUGAGGAAUAUAUCCGAAUUUACUUUUUCGUGGGGGCUAACGUAGGGAAACUUACGCCAUUACCGCAUACGACCUACGGGUGAAAGCAGGGGAUCUUCGGACCUUGCGCGAUUGUAUGAGCCGAUGUCGGAUUAGCUAGUUGGCGGGGUAAAGGCCUAACAAGGCGACGAUCCGUAGCUGGUCUGAGAGGAUGAUCAGUCAAACUGGAAAUGAGAAACGGUCCAGACUCGUACGGGAGGCAGCAGUGGGGAAUAUUGGAGAAUGGGCGAAAGCCUGAUCCAGCCAUGCCGCGUGUGUGAAGAAGGUCUUCGGAUUGUAAAGCACUUUAAGUGGGGAGGAAGAGCAGUAAGUUAAUACCUUGCUGUUUUGACGUUACCAACAGAAUAAGCAACGGCUAAAUUCGUG